rnacentral:rRNA from 1 species
AGGAGGCAUGUGGUUUAAUUCGAUGAUACGCGAGGAACGUUACCUGGGCUCGAACGUAAGAUGACUGUAGGUGAAAGCUUACAUCUCUUCGGAGCAUUUUACGAGGUGCUGCAUGGUUGUCGUCAGCUCGUGCCGUGAGGUGUCGGGUUAAGUCCCAUAACGAGCGCAACCCCUACCUUAGUUGCCAUCAGGUUAAGCUGGGGACUCUAAAGGAACUGCCUACGCAAGUAGUGAGGAAGCGGGGAUGACGUCAAAUCAGCACGGCCCUUACGUCCAGGGCUACACACGUGCUACAAUGGCCGAUACAGAGGGCAGCUACCUGGUGACAGGAUGCAAAUCUCCAAAGUCGGUCUCAGUUCGGAUCGGAGUCUGCAACCCGACUCCGUGAAGUUGGAUUCGCUAGUAAUCGCGCAUCAGCCAUGGCGCGGUGAAUACGUUCCCGGGCCUU